rnacentral:lncRNA from 1 species
UUCACCGCGGAUGAGACAUCCCGCUCCACCGCGUCCCCCAUUAUCACUGCCUCUACAUGCCUUCUCGCCAUCCACCAUAUCAGCCGCCACCGUUCUUUCAUCUGCUAGGACCAGAUGUGUAUCUUCCCAACCGAUGGAGAAGAGGUGGUCUUGUUUUGUGGGGGGGUAAUGAGAUGUAUGGGUAAUAUAAAAAAUUGAGAAUUUUAAUUAUUUCUUGUUCAUUUUUUUACUUGAUUUUUUGGAUCAUAUCCUUUCAACUAUUAAUUGAAUAAUUUGUUUUCUUUGAUAAUUGGGAAUGUUCAUACGAAACUUAGAAUUACAUUCUUCUAUUUUGAGCAUAAUUAUUUUUCUUCAAUUCGUGCAAAAGGCCCAGGCAAUUCGUAAAACAUAAAUCUUAUAUGUUUGUUAUGUUCUUCAGUUGUAUUGUAUAGUGGACUUUGUUAAUUUCAUAGUGGAUUUCGAUAAGUAUGCAGAGUGGUUUUCCCGAUGAAUUUAUACUGAAUUUCGAUAAUUACACAAAGUGGUUUUCAUGUGUAUAUAGUUGUUUAUAUAUAGUGGUUUUCAUGUUUAUAUCGCAGUUUACACAGAGUGGUUUUCAUGUUUAUAUAGCUGUUUAUACAGAGUGUUUUCAUGUUUGUAUAGUUGUUUAUACAUAGUAGUUUUCAUUAUUGUUCCCUCAUUCAUUUUUUGUUUCAACAGAUUUAUGCAAUAUUAGUAGGUUGGAAAGAAUUUAUUUAGAAUGUUUCCCGGAUUUUGUUCCCACCAACGAUGGUGUGACACCAAGAUUUACUUUUGGAAAUUGGUUUUCAUUUACUAAUUAAUUUUUUUCUUGUUCAGAUUGAUUUGGUGACCCUCGUCGGCCUUGUUGGUGGUGGUGUACUGGUCUUACACUUUUUUCCUGAAUAUAGUAGUGGUUUACGUUUCAAAUAGUGGAUUUUCGAAUAUUGAAUUUAUGUUUUUUUUGUUUGUUAUUUUGAGUUGUGUUAUUAGUGG